CACGUAGGGCGCAAGCGUUGUCCGGAAUUACUGGGCGUAAAGUGUGCGCAGGCGGCCGCGCAAGUCGAGUGUGAAAGCCCCGAGCUUAACUUGGGAAUUGCGCUCGAAACUACGUGGCUGGAGUGUGGCAGAGGAAGGUGGAAUUCCACGUGUAGCGGUGAAAUGCGUAGAGAUGUGGAGGAACACCGAUGGCGAAGGCAGCCUUCUGGGCCAACACUGACGCUCAUGCACGAAAGCGUGGGGAGCAAACAGG
rnacentral:rRNA from 1 species